rnacentral:tRNA from 1 species
GCCUCGUUAAUACAGAUGGUAGAGCGUUAGACUUUUAAUCUAACGGUCAGGGGUUCGAAUCCCCUACGGGGCU